rnacentral:miRNA from 1 species
GCAACAGAAAGAAGGAGCUCCCUUCAGUCCAAGCAACAGAUAAAGAGGGUUACCAAAUCUUCAUUCACACAAUAGCAAAACCUAUAGCUGAAUACUAUUGUAUGAAUGAAUCAUGUUAGUUCAGCAACCCAUUCUUUCAUCAUAUCUAUGAAUGGGCUGAGGGAAGCUCCUUCAUUCUCUU